rnacentral:rRNA from 1 species
GAUGAACGCUAGCGAUAGGCCUAACACAUGCAAGUCGAGGGGCAUCACAUGAAGUAGCAAUACGGAUGGUGGCGACCGGCGCACGGGUGAGUAACACGUAUGCAACCUGCCUUCAACAAGGGGAUAACCCGUUGAAAGACGGACUAAUACCCUAUAACACAGGGGUCCCGCAUGGGAAUAUUUGUUAAAGGACAACCGGUUGAAGAUGGGCAUGCGUUCCAUUAGCUAGUUGGCGGGGUAACGGCCCACCAAGGCAACGAUGGAUAGGGGAACUGAGAGGUUUAUCCCCCACACUGGUACUGAGACACGGACCAGACUCCUACGGGAGGCAGCAGUGAGGAAUAUUGGUCAAUGGACGCAAGUCUGAACCAGCCACGUCGCGUGAAGGAAGACGGUCCUACGGGUUGUAAACUUCUUUUGUAAGGGAAUAAAGUGUAGUACGCGUACUAUUUUGCAUGUACCUUACGAAUAAGGAUCGGCUAACUCCGUGCCAGCAGCCGCGGUA